CACGAUGGAUAGGGGUUCUGAGAGGAAGCUCCCCCACACUGGUACUGAGACACGGACCAGACUCCUACGGGAGGCAGCAGUGAGGAAUAUUGGUCAAUGGGCGAGAGCCUGAACCAGCCAAGUCGCGUGAAGGAUGAAGGAUCUAUGGUUUGUAAACUUCUUUUAUAUGGGAAUAAAGUGAGGAACGUGUUCCUUUUUGUAUGUACCAUAUGAAUAAGCAUCGGCUAACUCCGUGCCAGCAGCCGCGGUAAUACGGAGGAUGCGAGCGUUAUCCGGAUUUAUUGGGUUUAAAGGGUGCGUAGGUGGUUAAUUAAGUCAGCGGUGAAAGUUUGUGGCUCAACCAUAAAAUUGCCGUUGAAACUGGUUGACUUGAGUAUAUUUGAGGUAGGCGGAAUGCGUGGUGUAGCGGUGAAAUGCAUAGAUAUCACGCAGAACUCCGAUUGCGAAGGCAGCUUACUAAACUAUAACUGACACUGAAGCACGAAAGCGUGGGGAUCAAACAGGAUUAGAUACCCUGGUAGUCCACGCAGUAAACGAUGAUUGCUAGCUGUUUGCGAUACACAGUAAGCGGC
rnacentral:rRNA from 1 species